rnacentral:tRNA from 1 species
AGCUCAGUGGUUCAAUGGUAAGGCGCUAGUCGCGGAGCUACAGGGUUUUGGGUUCGAUCCCCAACAGGGUCG